UUGCAGCCAUAUCAUGUUGAAACACCAUUUCUAAUCUGAUCAUUGAAGUUAAGCAACAUCAAACUUGGUCAGUACCUAGAUGGGUAACCACUUGGGAACACCAGUUGCUGUAA